rnacentral:lncRNA from 1 species
CCUUACAGAAAAAAGCAACCUUAUUCUGAAGUUUCAACCUUAGGUUCCUUAUUUUGCUUUUUCUGGGGCCUUGCAACCGCAACUUCCUUACCUUUCCUCUUCUUAGUAUCCUUAGAAGAGGAUGCCAAAUGAGCACCUUCUGUCUUAUCUUGCUUUAUCCUUUCCUCCUCUUGCUCACAAUGCGAAAUGAGCUCAUUAAGAGUGCAUUUCUCCUUCAGGCAGUUGUAACUGAGUGUGCAGGAAGAGAUAUCAAAACUAAGUACACAAGUAGUUCCUCAGGUAAUUCCAGCUUGAGUGACUUAAGUUUCGAAGCAAGAUGAGACAUUUCCAAAAUGUACUCCCUUAUGUUUCCCUUGCCUUUAUACC